AUUGUAAACAGACAUUUAUUAAUUUGUGGGAUUGGAAACAAUACAAAUACGCUAACACAUCAACGAAGAAGAAUAUGAAGACAAAAUACCAUGAGGCAAUUUGGAGAAGAGAAACAACAAUGGAGCCACAAAUUAACAUUGAGAGAUCAUAAUAAUAUGUUUGCAUCAUCAAUUCUUGCGAAGCACGAUGAGGUACUGCAUUCCGGGUUUGGCAUUGUGGAAACGAGGAAGUUCUUGGCGUGCCUUGGCCUCUAUGAGCUCAAAGGCUUUUGUAAUAACUUCUCCUCCAAA
rnacentral:lncRNA from 1 species